UAUGUUAUAGAGACAGGUUGAUUUCAUUGUGAGCAGCAUGCAUAAAGUACUUAUAUAUAUCGGAGAAUUUCAUAUGCUUCAAAUAUUGGCCAUGCGACAUUUUCUGUGAGGGUGAAUUUUAUUAUGCAAGCAUAAAGUAGCUGUACCCGCUGACCUGACCUCUUCAUGAUGGCAAUAUAAAGUCAUGCAAACUUCAAGAAACUACACAGAGAUAUCAACUUCCGCAUCCUAGUGUGCUUAUGUUUCCAUAUAUACAUGCAGAAAGAGUACUAAUGCAUAUGUUUAUGCCAUCAACCUUGCUCUUGAAGGAUGGACAACAACACAAUUAUUCUUUGAACCCUUGGUAUUUGAUGAAGCUGGUAACCAAUAAUAACAACAGUACUAGACACUAUUGAUUGUGGUGAUCAUGAACCCUCUUUGUGAUGUGAUCGUUAACGUGUUGGCUGAAAGUAGCACUCACGAGUGGCGAUUCCCACAGAACCCCAAGCUCAUCGUCAUAACCUUGCGAUGCAGAAGCAGUGGUGAUUGAACCCAGAUGAUGAUCAUCGACACGAUCAUCACAUGGCAGUGGAUUAAUGCUACGCUCACUGGGUGUGGGGAUCUCUGUUUGCACGUGGUGCUGCUGCUGCUGCGCCUCAAAAGCAUCAUCGUUGAUCAAAGAGUUGAGGAAGGAAGAAAAGACAUCGUCGGAGUAAUAAUUGAUGUUGAUACCAUCGUUGUUGCAAUCCUCGUUGUUGUUGUCCAUGAAACCCAUUGCAGAAACAUCAUCGGUGGCAGCAGCUGGUACUGGGUUAUGGUUAUCACAGGGAUUAGAAAGUGGAGGAGGUUGGUGAUGUUGACCUAGAUGAUUAAGAUGAACUCCUUGGUUAAACAUGUUGGUGAGAUCGUGAUGAAAAGGGUUAAUGUUGUUGUUGGUGAUGAUCACUGGAGGAGGUUUAGAAGGUGGAAUAGUAGAAGUUGUUGAAGAAGAAGGAACGGCAAUAGAUGGUGGGUUAAGAGGCUUGUGGGUUCUUGGAUCAAUCCCUUGGUUAAUAAGCUUCUUACUUAGAUGGGUAUUCCAAUAGUUCUUUAUUUCAUUGUCUGUUCUUCCAGGAAUCCUCCCAGCUAUCAAAGACCACCUGCCACAUCCAAUGUGGAGACAACAAAUUAAUAAACCCUAGUUAGAAAAAAAAGUGUAAGAACCCUAAUUUUUGUGGGAAUAAUUGAUCAGUUAAACCUAAACCCUUAAACGGAAGAUGGUAUGUGUACCGAUUGCCCAGGAGGCGGUGUAGGCGGAGGAUGAGAUCUUCCUCGUCGGGGGCGAUGUGGCCGCGCUUGACGGAGGGGCGGAGGUAGUUCAUCCAGCGGAGGCGGCAGCUCUUGCCGCAGCGGAGAAGGCCGGCGCGCUUCGGGAGCGUUCUCCACCGUCCUUCUCCUUCUUUAUUGAUGUAAUUCGCUAACACCUCGUCCUCCUCUGGCGUCCAUGGCCCUCGCUUCAACCCAACAUUGUUGCAGCAUGGAGAGUAGUUGGUACCAAUGUUGUUGUUGUUGUUGGUACUUUUGUUACUAUUGUUCUUCACCUUGGUCUUGGUUGUUGCUAAUGUUGGUAGUGAUGGGUUUCUCAUUUUCUUCUUCUUCUUCUGAAUUUAGGGGAAUUAAUGGAAGUAGAAGAAUGAAGAAUAUAUGGUGAGUAAGUUUUGGGUUUGGGAAGGAAAUGAUAAUGGAAAUUGGAAGGAGGUGCCAAUAUAAUUGUCUCUUUAUGGUAUCUUCUUUGCUUUUUCUGCUUUCAAAUACCAAUGAACACGCGCUGAGGCGCGGCACUGAGAUCCACGUGUGGAUGGAUAUUUCUA